AGUGACUUGUAUUUCAUGAUGAGACAUUUCCAUUCCUUAUAUGCAAAUGAACGGGGCGUGGUUAGCUCACAGAUCCAGACCAAAGCAACAGCACCACAACACUGACUCAAUAGCUUUUGUUUCACACUCCAGUACUCUUAAGUGGUUUGCAAACUGCCAAUAAACCAAACCAGUUCAAGAUCCAUUCUUGUGCUUUUCUGGUGCUUAACUGGUUCUUCUCUGGUCUUAUCUGGUCUUAUCUGGGAGCAACCGCUCUGACAGCUCUCUCUAGUCUCUACUGGGAAACAGCUAAAAGUCCUUCUGGAGGCUUUGCAUUUGAACUCCUAUGACUGGUUGCGGACUUGAAGGGAACGACUUCCUGGCCUUCCUGACAUCCAGGAAAAAGUUUUAUUCGACAGAGGCAGUAGAUAUCUAUGGAAACAGUGGAGAGGGAGGAGAUGAUAUGCAGCAAAAGGCCCAGCCGGAUGGUUGCUGCUCCGUGUGGAAUGUGUUCUAUCAGGUGUAACAUCUACCAAUGGUUGUACAUGACAGAGACCUCCUCCACCUCUUUGCUGUCUUACUAGUCAAUCCUUCUGAUCAGGUCCUUUCCUAAAUAGUGAAAGGAUCAUGCCAGCCCACAUCAAACACCUGAUCAAGAACUUGUGAAUCUCACUGCUGCGGACACCUGUGUGAUAUUCCACUCUGACUGGAACCCUGAAAAUGACCUGCAGGCUCAAGCUCGGUGUCAUCGUUUUGGCCAGCCUAAGGUGGUGAAGGUGUACCGUCUGAUCACUAGAAACUAUGAGAGGGAAAUGCUGGAUAAAGCUAGUCUGAAGCUCGGGCUGGACCGUGCCGUCCUGCAGAGCAUGAGUGGGAACAAAGAAGGCAACAACAACGGGCCGGUCCAGCAGUUCUCCAAGAAGGAGAUCGAGGACCUGCUGAGGAAAGGAGCCUACGCCGCCAUCAUGGACGAGAACGACGAAGGCAAUCGCUUCUACUAGGAGGACAUCGACCAGAUCCUGCAGCGAAGAGCCACCAUCAUCACCAUCACCAGUUUGCUUCAAGCAGUGGCUGUACGAGGAAGACGUGGAGGACCAAGAAAUGCUGGCCAGAUUGGCAAAGACCGGAAGAUACAUAACAGAGAAGAUAAUGGAUAUUAACAAGAAAAAGAAAAAAAAUGUUUAUAAUUUCUUUGUUGCUGUUUACAUUUUGAAUUAUAUUUGUUUUUAAAUCAAAUGCAUCUAUUUUAGAUGAUAUAUUUAUUUAGAUGUAGGUUUUUUUUGUAAUAUUAUUGUAUUAAGUAUAAUUUAUUAAAUACAAAUACUGUUAUGAACACUAUACAAUGUCUUUAUCUUGAUAGUUACCAGAAUACAUUGUAUAUUUAAUACUAACAUAAGCUGGUGAUAGAUAAAUGCUGGUCUGCUGGUAUGCCAGCAGACAAAUAUUUAUAAAGAAAGAAACAGAAGGGAGGAAAUGAUGAUAGCUAGACUUAGAAUAAAUCACACAGCAUUGAAUGGUACGCUGCAUGUCAUGGGGAAAAGUAACAGUGACAAGUGUAGGAACUGUGGAGUUAAAGAAAAUGUGGAACAUCUAUAAAGCUGAAAGAGAAAAACUAAAGGAUAACGUUUUAGAGGCAGAGAGGGAAUGGAGUGUGGUUGGUAUUUUGGGAACAAAAGGAGAGGGAGAAAGAGCUACCAGAAAGGCACUGUUUACCUUUAGUGAAACUGGGGUAGGUACAAUUAUCUAACAUUAGGUCAGGAAAGAUCAUAGAUAGUUGUUUUGUUUUAUUUAUUAUGUUUUUUAUUUAUUUAUUUUUGGAUUAGAUCAUAGAUACGUCCAUGAGUUAAGAGAUGGAAUGAUAUGAUGAUUCACACUCAUGUACAGUAGGUGGCGGUAUGCACCUUAAAGUUGUUUGCAAUCCGCCAAAAAACCGAGAGAAGAAGAAGUCAACUGGUUUGCCAACGGACAAUUUACACCGAAGCGAACAUUUCUGGCGGGUGAAAUUUAGAAUAUCAGAUUACAUGCGAUGUCUGACUGAGAAUUUAGAAGUUUGCCUUCUUUUGCAUUCUCCAUUUUCUUCCUCUUCUCGAGUAGUCAGUGUGGUGCUGUUGCUUUGGUCUGGGUCUCUGGAUCUGUGAGCUAACCACGCCCCGUUCAUUUGCAUAUAAGG